AUUUCCAGGGCCUCUCUCCAGUGGGGAGAACUCAAGAGCUGCCUCCCAGGCCCCGGGUGGAAUCAUUUACCUUUUUAAAAACAGACGGGCUGCUGAACAGAGAUACCCUGGCCCUUGCGGCCACACCCUGGAAAACCACACAAGUCCUGACCGCCUCUGCUUUCACUGCUCAGACCUGUGGGAAACUUCCUUGCCUGAACGGCUUCUUGACGGUUACUGCUACGGUUCUGCUGAGUCAGAUGCACACCCCCCAGCUGCUCACCGGAAACACAGCUGUGAGGCGAAAAUAACCACAGGGCCCGGCACGGAGCACCGUGCGCCUUCCAGAAAAGAGGGCAGAAAACCUCAAAA